AAGCGCUCCGGGGUCGGUGCAAGUCCGAACCGGUGGUGACAGUCCACGAGCUGACGACGGGUUCCGACCCGACCGAUGCUGACCCGGUGGGAUCCCGGGACCGACGGUGAGAGUCCGGAUGAGAGGUGGCGCUG
rnacentral:ncRNA from 2 species